rnacentral:lncRNA from 1 species
AUCCAUGUCACGUAGUGAGCUAAGAGCUAUUUGAUACGUCCACCGGCACAUAAAAAAGGUAUUUGGUGUCAUGGCAGUUUACAUCAUCAAUCAUGCCGCUGCAAUUCCUGCCUUUAAUAUGCAAUCAAUACCAUCCUCUUUCUUGAGAUCUAUACCUUCACUCACGAAAUGAUGGGUGAGGACGUGGCACUUUAGAAAUCCUCUAAUUGAGAUGUCACUACUGUCAGAUUUGAGAAAUGUAAGAAUCUGAUUAAUAAUUUGAUUUAGAUCCCAUUUGAACUCUGUACACACUUGGGCUGCGAACUAGUGACCCAAUAGUGGCCUGCAAUAAAGUAUUUUACUUUAUUUCUAGUUAUUUUAUAAAAUCUCAUAUAAUUUAUUUUUACAUGAAAUAAUUCAUUAAAAAUA